rnacentral:lncRNA from 10 species
UUUCAUGUUGUCUGGUUUGUUUAGAAAAUCAUGUUUAAUUAUUUUUUUAAACCUAUAGAAUGAUUAUUUUAUUCUGCUUUUGAAUCACUAUUUUUUCCUGUAUUUUCCACUUCCACUUGCCUCUCUCAGCUGCUCUAUUUUUGCAUGGUUGUUUUUUUUUUCCUAUGGCAGCCAAUUAAGUUAUUGCAUUUCAGCUCCCAAACUGUACCCAUCUAUACUAGAAUUUGUGAUGUUGAAACUGCGACUUGGCUAAUUUCAUUUCAGCGUUGUCAGUUGCUUCUCCUUAUGCUUUGUCAAUAGGGGACGAGACACACACACACAGAGACAGAGAGAGAGAGAGAGUGCAAAGCAAGGCAAGGCAAGAGGAGUAAGAAGUGUUUCCAGCUCUGAAAACACCAGCUUUAUCCUAAUACGGCAGAUACCGCAGCACCAACUAACUGACAGACCCUCCUCAGAAGUCUGGGUCCCAGCCCCCAAUGGCACAUCUUCCUCCAGCUCAGAGAUGCCAUCCCCAGCCAAACUGAGCCACUUCCUCAAAGCUCACUGGGUAUGAAAGCUGGUUGUUGGAAGAUGCUAAAUGGCACAAGUCCCGAUGGCAGCUGAAACACUCUCUUGUGGUCUGGCAGUAUAUGCACAGGACAUUUGCCAGUGCCAUGGCUAGGUACUGCUCCACAGACACCUGAGAUUUUCUCAGCCCAAAAGACAGAAAAGAUUGGACUUUUCCCCAGGAUGCUCUGCUUUCUGCUAUUUGUCUGGGAUCCCUCAAAAACUGGUUUCUGGGCUCUCAACCAGUCCAUAGAAAAGAAAGCAUCAUAUUAGUUAUUAGUAUCAUCUGGAGAACUUUUCCAAUGUCGGCCUCAUACUUCUCAGCAGUAUAUAGGCCCUAGCAGCAAUUUUACUUAGGAAGUGUAAAUGAAUCGGGAAAGGCAUCUGCAUUCAGGUGUUCACGUUUCCAAACCCUCCCUCAAAGAUUUUUCUUUGUUAUAAAAUCUGUCAAUGUAUGUUAUAAAGUCUAUAAUAAGAU